GGUCAGUUUAAAGUCAUGGUUUUCAACUGGGAGAUGUCAAAAGACGAAAAAAUGUUGACGACGGAUUUGGCCUUACUAGAAGUUUCUAGGAAACAUGGGCAAAUGUCAAUGUCUCGGUUUAUGAAAGGUGAUUUUGAAGAAAAUUGAUAUAACGCACAAUUGAAACGAAAUGCCAAGACACAUUUUUGCUCAAUUUUCGUAUUUCUAAACGCAAAGUAUGCAAAGCAGAUUGCAUUUAGAUGUCACCCCGAAUCAUAGCCAUGCAGCAACUUGCCAUGAGGGAAACCGGGUGGGGUGUGUGUGCUCAAAUUCAUGAUAUGCUGCUUUACGUUCUUUUUACGUUCUUUACGUUUUAGGUUCUUGUUUUCUACGAAAUAAAACUUUCAUAUGUCAA